UAGGGAAUCUUCCACAAUGGGCGCAAGCCUGAUGGAGCAACACCGCGUGAGUGAAGAAGGGUUUCGGCUCGUAAAGCUCUGUUGUUAAAGAAGAACACGUAUGAGAGUAACUGUUCAUACGUUGACGGUAUUUAACCAAAAAGUCACGGCUAACUACGUGCCAGCAGCCGCGGUAAUACGUAGGUGGCAAGCGUUAUCCGGAUUUAUUGGGCGUAAAGAGAGUGCAGGCGGUUUUCUAAGUCUGAUGUGAAAGCCUUCGGCUUAACCGGAGAAGUGCAUCGGAAACUGGAUAACUUGAGUGCAGAAGAGGGUAGUGGAACUCCAUGUGUAGCGGUGGAAUGCGUAGAUAUAUGGAAGAACACCAGUGGCGAAGGCGGCUACCUGGUCUGCAACUGACGCUGAGACUCGAAAGCAUGGGUAGCGAACAGGAUUAGAUACCCUGGUAGUCCAUGCCGUAAACGAUGAGUGCUAGGUGUUGGAGGGUUUCCACCCUUCAGUGCCGGAGCUAACGCAUUAAGCACUCCGCCUGGGGAGUACGACCGCAAGGUUG
rnacentral:rRNA from 1 species